AUCACUAAGCGGAGGAAAAGAAACUAACGAGGAUUUCCCUAGUAACGGCGAGUGAACGGGGAUUUGAGCUCAUCGCUGAAGCCUCCGUCCGUGAAGGGCGGCAGGCAAUGUAGCGUUUAGGGAGAGCCAUUCCUUAUCGGUUUGACAGUGCCCAAGUCCCCCUGACUGGGGCCAUUGCCCGCGGAGGGUGCUAGGCCCGUACGGCAUUGGUCAUCCGAAGGACGGCUCUUUCCCUCGAGUCGGGUUGCUUGGGAGUGCAGCCCUAAGACGAUGGUAAACUUCAUCCAAAGCUAAACACGGCCACGAGACCGAUAGCGAACAAGUACCAUGAGGGAAAGUUGCAAA
rnacentral:rRNA from 2 species